rnacentral:rRNA from 1 species
AGCGAACGCUGGCGGCAGGCUUAACACAUGCAAGUCGAGCGGACCUUUCGGGGUCAGCGGCGGACGGGUGAGUAACGCGUGGGAACGUGCCUUCCGGUUCGGAAUAACCCUGGGAAACUAGGGCUAAUACCGGAUACGCCCUUAUGGGGAAAGGUUUACUGCGCGAAGAUCGGCCCGCGUCUGAUUAGCUAGUUGGUGGGGUAACGGCCUACCACGGCGACGAUCAGUAGCUGGUCUGAGAGGAUGGUCAGCGACACUGGGACUGAGACACGGCCCAGACUCCUGCGGGAGGCAGGAGUGGGGAAUAUUGGACAACGGGCGCAAGCCUGAUCCAGCCAUGCCGCGUGAGUGAUGAAGGCCUUAGGGUUGUAAAGCUCUUUUAUCCGGGACGAUAAUGACGGUACCGGAAGAAUAAGCCCCGGCUAACUUCGUG